UUUUAAUGGUUUGACUGGCUCAGGGCACUUUAGAGUGACCUGAAGCUUUAUUUAUUAAUGUUCUUAUUACUAUUGGCAACAUAUAACAUUAUUUAUGGAAACAUUUAACAUUUUUUUAACAUUUAGGUAUUUUUUUUUACUUUACGGUAACAUUGAUAAUAACAGACAGAAAAAUACUAGACAGUUAUCAAUUUGCUCUUGUAAACAAAAGGUAAGUUAAGAUCGGCUUGUGUUUUCUUUUUUCUGGCUUAGGCAUAAAAAUUUUGUGACGCCGCUCCUGGACCCCUCAUCCGGUGCGAAACGGAGGUAUGGACGACAGGGAGACCUCCAAGCAUCGGCAACGCAAGCGCGGCAUCGCCUCGUCCCUCUUUUCCUGGCCGAAUCCAACCGAUGCAGCUCUAAGAAGAACGGCGGCGCAUAUGCUUCUUUCUGUGGAUGAUAUGAAACUCCUGGCUGAUUUUAAUAUUGUUUUAUUUUCAGGUUUAUGUUUUGUAGGUUUGGUGAUCAAGUGUCAGGAAUCCAGUUAGGUUCGAUUGGUCCAUUGGGAGGUUUGCGUUGAGUUUGGCUAAAUUAAUUUAUUUAGAGGUUUGCGUUGAAUUUGGU